CUUGAGUAGAACAGUAUCAAUUCAAGCACAAUUUACCUGGGUCCUGACUAGAAAUAUGGACUGGUACAUUUGGAUGUUACAAGGAAUGGGCAACACCAUCACAACAAACACAGUGCAGAAGCACUGGAAGUGGAAGGGGUCGGUUGGCUGCUUCCUAACAUCCCACGGCCUGGAGUUAUGGAGACCAGUACGGUCGGCUCUUCUACGUCAGGUAGCCUCUUUCAACACCAGAAGUGUCAUUACCACGCCCAUAACUCAGCGUCACUAUUACUUGACGCAUUAGAUGACAGAGAACAGUUUUCCUUAACUUUAAUAAGUUUGUACGCUGUCAAAAGUUCUCAUUCAACAAGCCGCAGUGUGAGUGCCCUCGCUUCAGUCCUGAAGAAGCCAAGGAAGCCGUUUAACUUGGUUAAAAAGAAAUGUAAAAAACAAAA